rnacentral:rRNA from 1 species
UACGGAGGGUGCGAGCGUUGUCCGGAAUCACUGGGCGUAAAGGGCGCGUAGGUGGCGACCCAAGUCGAUGGUGAAAGCUCGCCGCUCAACGGCGAGUCGGCCACCGAUACUGGGUUGCUGGAGCACUGUAGAGGCUCAUGGAAUUCCGGGUGUAGCGGUGGAAUGCGUAGAGAUCCGGAAGAACACCGGUGGCGAAGGCGGUGAGCUGGGCAGUUGCUGACACUGAGGCGCGACAGCGUGGGGAGCAAACAGG